CGGCGCCUCACGGGCGAGGACUUCAACCGGGCGCUGCGCUGGAGCAACGUGCAGGCCGUGUGCGGACACGGCUGCCCCGAGGCGCUGCCGCUGCGGCCGCUCAAGGAGGCCGAGCUCUACUCGGCCGAGGAGCGCGAGGUCAACGUGGCCGAGCUGGCGCUGGCCACCAACAUCCCCAAGGGCAGCGCCGGCACCGC